CCGACCUUAGCUCAGUUGGUAGAGCGGAGGACUGUAGUGGUUUAAAUCCAACAGGUGAUCCUUAGGUCGCUGGUUCGAAUCCGGCAGGUCGGA